UUUUUUGCUUUUAUUCUUCAUUUUCAGCUCAAAUCCAUUUCUCUCUCCCUCUUUCCUUUUCUCCUCUCUUUCUCCAUGGAUUCCGAUUUCUGGACCUCUCGUCUUGCAGCUGCUAAACGUCAGUUAAAUUUACAGCAAAACCAUUCCUACAAUCAUCAAACUUCUCAACUCGAUAGGCUGAGCAUCGAUGAUUUCGAGGUUGAAGAAGAGGUCCGACCCGAUUUUCCAUGCCCGUAUUGUUAUGAGGAUUUUGAUAUUGCCUCUCUUUGUUCGCAUCUAGAAGAGGAACAUUCUUGCGAGUCCAGAGUAACUGUCUGUCCCAUUUGUUCUCAUAAAGUUUCAAGGGACAUGCUAAGUCAUAUUACAGUGCAACAUGGACACUUACUGAGGGUGCAGCGACGCCGUAGAUUACGUAAAGUUGCAAUUCCUAGCAGCCAGGCGCUUUCUCUACUUGGUAGAGAUCUUCGUGAAGCUCAUUUGCAGGUACUUUUAGGAGGCAGUGGAUAUCGAUCAAGCACUGCAACAUCAACCACUGCAGCGGCAGCCAAUGACCCCUUCCUCUCAUCUCUAGUUUUGAACUACCCCACAUUUGAAGCAGAGGAAAUUUCAAAAUCUGUUUUAUCCAGUGUUGAGGACUCUACUACGAAGAAUGUGACAUCACAACAUAUAUGGAAGUUAAGUUUUGACCCUUCACUAAGUGUGGAAGAGAGGGAAAAGAGGAUAAGCCAGGCUACUGGAAGAGCUGUUUUUGUGCAAGAUCUGUUUGCCUCUUCUCUGUUAGCUGACUAAUUGGAGGAGUAAGUGUUGCAAUACAAGAUAAUAAUUUGAGUUGAAAAUUCACAUAGUGAUGCAUAAUCAUCCAUCUCUUCAAUCAGAGAUCUGGUCCCUGAGAAAGAUUACUACCUAGUUUGUUUUUCCCUUUAAUGAUAUUUGUGAUGUUGUAAUUUGUAAUCUAGGUACUGCAGAAAAGUAGUUUGUCAUGGCAAGAAGGAUUUUAAUCAGGACAGCAACACUAGAUGUGUACCAGCAGUGUUGCACCAUUUGUUUUAAUUAUUUUUCCUUUAUAGUUUUCCUCCUACUCUCACUGUUUUAUUCUCUUGUGAUACGAAGGAGAAAAAGAAAGUUUAUUUCUCUAAUAUUUGUUGA